rnacentral:rRNA from 1 species
UACGUAGGGUGCGAGCGUUAAUCGGAUUUACUGGGCGUAAAGGGCGCGUAGGCGGCCGGGCAAGUCUGGUGUGAAAGCCCAGGGCUCAACCCUGGAAGGGCACUGGAAACUGUCUGGCUUGAGUUCCGGAGAGGAGGGGGGAAUUCCCGGUGUAGCGGUGAAAUGCGUAGAGAUCAGGAGGAACACCGAUGGCGAAGGCAGCCCCCUGGGCCUGUACUGACGCUCAUGCACGAAAGCGUGGGGAGCAAACAGG